GGUCUUAUAUUCAUUUAUGAUAUUAAAUUGCAAAUUUAAAGGUGGUGAUUUUACCUAAGGCUU
rnacentral:tRNA from 1 species